rnacentral:rRNA from 1 species
UACGCAGGGAGCUAGCGUUGUUCGGAAUUACUGGGCGUAAAGGGCGCGUAGGCGGUUUGUUAUGUCAGAUGUGAAAGCCCCGGGCUUAACCUGGGAACUGCAUUUGAAACUGGCAGACUAGAGAUCGAGAGAGGAAAGUGGAAGUACAAGUGUAGAGGUGAAAUUCGUAGAUAUUUGUAAGAACACCAGUGGCGAAGGCGGUUUUCUGGCUCGAUACUGACGCUAAGGCGCGAAAGCGUGGGGAGCAAACAGG